rnacentral:rRNA from 1 species
AACGAACGCUGGCGGCGUGCUUAACACAUGCAAGUCGAACGCGAACGGUUUCUUCGGGAACCUAGUAGAGUGGCGCACGGGUGAGUAACGCGUAAGUAAUCUAUCCUGGCAUCUGGAAUAACCCACCGAAAGGUGAGCUAAUACCGGAUACGUUGAUUUAUCAAGAAAGGUGGCCUCUAUUUAUAAGCUACUGUGCGAGGAGGAGCUUGCGUACCAUUAGCUAGUUGGUAGGGUAAUGGCCUACCAAGGCAACGAUGGUUAGCGGGUCUGAGAGGAUGAUCCGCCACACUGGAACUGGAACACGGACCAG